GGUUGAAACAUGCAAAGUCCAUCAUUAGUGAAGUCUGCAAAAGUGUGAAGAUGUAAUUGGAGGCUGGUAAAAUGGAAACCUGUGAUAUGUAAUAGCACAGCAGCUGGUGAAACUUUUAACAGGAAAUUUUAAUGAUCGAAGCUGUAUCGUAAACAUCUGAGUUUGACUCAGAGGAUCUCCAGAGAGGGUGAGCAGAGGAGGGACAGAGGGAGCGUGUCACCCAGAAUGGAGUGGACAACAUGGAGCUCGAUCUCACACCAUGAGAUUAUGAUCCAGACCAAAAUCAAGAGUUGGAUGUUUGAGCCACCCAGGUUUGGCAGAUCCAUCAAGCCAGUUCAUUAAUGCACAGAUGAUUCCUUAACAUUAAGAAAGACACAUUGGAACAUCACAAAUGUCAAGUCAGUUAUUACGCACAAAAAGCAGAAAAUGGCAACCAUCGAAAGGUGAGCCCUAAUUCAGUCGGGACCAAAA